UACGGGGGGGGUAAGCGUUGUUCGGAAUUACUGGGCGUAAAGGGCUCGUAGGCGGCCAACUAAGUCAUACGUGAAAUCCCUCAGCUUAACUGGGGAACUGCGUGUGAUACUGGAUGGCUUGGAUUUGGGAGAGGGAUGCGGAAUUCCAGGUGUAGCGGUGAAAUGCGUAGAUAUCUGGAGGAAGACCGGUGGCGAAGGCGGCAUCCUGGACCAAUAUUGACGCUGAGGAGCGAAAGCCAGGGGAGCAAACGGG
rnacentral:rRNA from 1 species